rnacentral:rRNA from 1 species
GCGUAGCAAUACGCUUGUACAGUGGCGAACGGGUGAGUAACACGUGGGUGACCUACCCUCGAGUGGGGAAUAACCCGCCGAAAGGCGGGCUAAUGCCGCGUAAGCUUCCGUCCUCACGGGGACGGAAGGAAAGCUGUACCGUGGGUACGGCGCUCAAGGAUGGGCUCACGUCCUAUCAGCUUGUUGGUAGGGUAACGGCCUACCAAGGCUCCGACGGGUAGCUGGUCUGAGAGGACGAUCAGCCACACUGGCACUGCGACACGGGCCAGACUCCUACGGGAGGCAGCAGUGAGGAAUAUUGCGCAAUGGGCGAAAGCCUGACGCAGCGACGCCGCGUGGGGGAUGAAGGUCUUCGGAUUGUAAACCCCUUUCGGGAGGGAAGAUGGGACGGGCAACCGUUCGGACGGUACCUCCAGAAGCAGCCACGGCUAACUUCGUGCCAGCAGCCGCGGUAAUACGAAGGUGGCAAGCGUUGUUCGGAUUUACUGGGCGUACAGGGAGCGUAGGUGGCUUGGUAAGCCCUUCGGGAAAUCUCCCGGCUUAACCGGGAAAGGUCGGAGGGGACUGCCUGACUAGAGGACGGGAGAGGAGCGCGGAAUUCCCGGUGUAGCGGUGAAAUGCGUAGAGAUCGGGAGGAAGGCCGGUGGCGAAGGCGGCGCUCUGGAACGUUCCUGACACUGAGGCUCGAAAGCGUGGGGAGCAAACAGGAUUAGAUACCCUGGUAGUCCACGCCCUAAACGAUGGACACUAAGUGUCGGCGGGUUACCGCCGGUGCCGCAGCUAACGCAGUAAGUGUCCCGCCUGGGGAUUACGGCCGCAAGGUUGAAACUCAAAGGAAUUGACGGGGGCCCGCACAAGCGGUGGAGCAUGUGGUUCAAUUCGACGCAACGCGAAGAACCUUACCCAGGUUGGACAUGCAGGUAGUAA